AGAGGCUCAAGUUGACAGACAACGGCGUAAAGCGUGGUUAAGGAAAAUAUAUUACUAAAGCGGAACCUCCCCCUAGCUGUUAUACGCUUCCGAGGAAGUGAACUCCAACUACGAAAGUGGCUUUACCUAACCUGAACCCACGAAAGCUAAGAAACAAACUGGGAUUAGAUACCCCACUAUGCUUAGCCUUAAACAUUGAUCGUUUACUACAUCAAACAUCCGCCUGGGAAUUACGAACACUA
rnacentral:rRNA from 1 species